rnacentral:rRNA from 1 species
GACGAACGCUGGCGGCGUGCCUAAUACAUGCAAGUAGAACGCUGAAGAGAGGAGCUUGCUCUUCUUGGAUGAGUUGCGAACGGGUGAGUAUCGCGUAGGUAACCUGCCUGGUAGCGGGGGAUAACUAUUGGAAACGAUAGCUAAUACCGCAUAAAAUUGAUUAUUGCAUGAUAAUUAAUUGAAAGAUGCAACUGCAUCACUACCAGAUGGACCUGCGUUGUAUUAGCUAGUUGGUGAGGUAACGGCUCACCAAGGCGACGAUACAUAGCCGACCUGAGAGGGUGAUCGGCCACACUGGGACUGAGACACGGCCCAGACUCCUACGGGAGGCAGCAGUAGGGAAUCUUCGGCAAUGGGGGGAACCCUGACCGAGCAACGCCGCGUGAGUGAAGAAGGUUUUCGGAUCGUAAAGCUCUGUUGUAAGAGAAGAACGGGUGUGAGAGUGGAAAGUUCACACUGUGACGGUAUCUUACCAGAAAGGGACGGCUAACUACGUG